rnacentral:lncRNA from 1 species
AAAAAAAUAUGAGAAUGAACUAGAACAAAUAAGACUUUAAUACAAGAUAACAAAACUACAAUCUUUGCUCUAUCUUGAACAUAUCUUUAGUGAGUUCGACCUCUGAAUCAGUCAGCACUAAUUACGAAUUCCUUAUUAAUGUGUGCCUGAGAUGAUGCUGUAUGCUGUCUUUCAUGCUUUCAAUGUUUUAAGGCCCUUAGUUUUCAUGUCAGUUCAGAACGAAGUCAUAUUAUUAUCUGGGAUUUUUUUUCCACUGACUGAAUGAACAAAAUAAUUAAGAGGUAAAAAUGUGUUUUUAAAAGAUGAAGUGUUCUAGUAGACAGUCACUUCUUUUGUCUGAAAACUUAAAAAAAAAACGAGAACUAGUUAUUAAAUGUUAACAUUGUACUAAAUAGAAUAUUAAGCAAAAAUCAUUAAAUGCUAUAUAGAGAUUGAUUUUUAUGCUUCUAAAACGAUUAUAUGAUGAGUGUUUAACUACACAUUUCAAACACUGAAAUAACUGAACGAAAAUGUCAGAAAGUGCUAUGGAGGAAAUAUCUGUGUUCCUAUCUUAUUCUUCCACUGAAAACCUAUCUAUACACAUGACAGCCUGAAGAGGUUAGCCCUUUAGGAAGUGAAUUCAUCACAAGGGCAGCCACCAAGAUGAUGAAAAAGACCACAGACUGCUAGUCCAUUCCAUAAUGUGAACAUACAGUGAAGAAGUGCCACUGCCAAUCAGGAGCUGGGUCCUCAAUCACUCCGUAUUGAGCCUACCCAAUGCCUUGUGGACCUCUCAACCCCGUGAGAAAUCAAUUCCUGGUGUUUGUAAGCCACCUAGUCUGUGAUCCUUUGUUACAGAAGGCUGAACAGACAGACCAAAAAACCCAUAAAAUAUCAGACAAACUUUUAAAUCUGUUUGGCACUUUCAAAGGGAAGACAAAAGGACAGCAAUAUGUAAAAUAUUGUUUAACCUAGAACUUAUAGAUGGACUUUGUGGUUCUUGGCAAAUCUUUGAAAUUCAUACAGGUUCAGAAGUAUGACUAUGAACUUUAACUGAAACACAGUAUCACUACCAUAUCUUUGGAAAUUAUUGUCUUCACAAUAUGUGUGUAUACAUGUGUAUAUUCUAUUUCACAAAAUUAUAAAUGUACAUGCAAUAAAAUUACAAAUUAUAUAUGUCCGCUACAAGGAACUAUUUCAAAUUUAUAUCCAUAAGAUAAUUUCCAAAAUUCCCUUGUAUAUAAAGUUCCAUAAUUAAGAGAUUUAAGUUACUCUUUUAAAUUUUAUUUAUAUUACAUAUACUAAGUGUUUUAUGCUAUAUGUGCACCAUGUUCCUGUGGGGUCUGUAAAGGCCCCAAAAGAAUAUCAUAUUUAAGGGAACUGGAGUUACAGGUGGUUGUACAUAGCUAUGUUAGUUCUGGGAAUUGAGCCAAGGUCCUCUGGAAGAGCAGCCAGUGCUUGUAACUAUGUAGCCCUCUCUCCAGUCCCUAUCUUUGAUUUAUAUGUGAAUUAUUUAUCACGUGCUUGGCUUGUAUACCAAUAAUAUUUAUACUGUAAAAUAAUGGAGAUCAUAAUGGUUUACUUUGAAGUUUUCCACAGAAGGGGAAUUCGGAGGUAUUACCAAUGUACAUGAAUUGAAUUAGUCAAUCAAUAAUGUACUUAUUUGUCAAAAGAUCAAUUUUCUAAAUAAUGCUACAUUUUGACACAUGUCUGAAAUUCUACUGCUCUUUCAUCUGGCUUGGCACAGAUGACUUUACUUAUGGAGACAUCUUUUAUUUAUUUAUUUAUUUAUUCAUUCAUUUAUGUAUUUAUUUUUACAGUAUAAAUUUUUAAAUGGGAUAUUUUUUAGUUUAUAUUUCAAAUGUUAUCCCCUCUCCCGGUUUCAGCCCCUCCCGGAAAUUCCUGACACCAUCCUCCCUCCCCCUCCUUCUAUGAGGGUGUCCUUCCCUCCACUUACUCACUUCCAUUUCCCCGCCCUCGGUUCCCCUACUGGGGUAUCUAUUGAGCCUUCAUAGGACCAAGUAGCUCUCCUCCCAUUGAUGCCUGACAAGGCCAUCCUCUGCUACAUAUGCACCUGGAGCCACGUGUACCCCUUGACUGGUGAUUGUUUAGUCCCAAUAUUGCAUCCUACACAGGACAUACAAGAUUUUUGAAUAUGAAUCUCUUAGAAGACAAACAUGCUGACAUGGUACUUUUAGUAUAAAAAUAAUAAUAGGAACAAGAAAGAAAACAAAGAUGAGCUCCCACAAAGAAAAUCAUCAGUCAGUAACUUAUUUAAAAACUGAGAAAUUUGGAGGAUAAUUGUCUCUAUAAGGAUUUAAAGUGCUGAUAUUAUACAUUAAAGCACUUUAAGAAUGUUUAUAUCAAUGUUCACCAGGCUUAUAAACCAAUUUAGCAUUGUCUUAUACUCAGAUUGCAUGGAAAAUAAGGUUUCCAUCUUUAAGAAUAUAAAAACCCAGGAAGGGUAAUAGAUGAGAGUUUUAUGCUUAUGAGCAUAAACUGUGAUUGUUUGCUGUGCCUCAGCAGUGAUGAAAUCAUUCAGGGUUUCAGAGCAAGACACAAAACCCUGGGGAAGCUAUUAAGAAUUCAGUAUUAGCAGUUCAUGGAAGAAAAUGGAUUCCACUUACUAAAAUGAUUUUAAAAUGUUUUCCAUAAAAUGCAAAUACCACCACACGGUGAGGAUGGAUGCCUUAGGUAGGCUUUAAUUGAGUCAGUUUCUUUGUAUAAGAGCAAUGUGUUAUUUUCAAUGGUAUCCAAAAUUUCCAUGUCUUAUGAAUGGUAGGCUUGUGAUAAACUUUUGAUGAAGGAGAAAAGCAAGAGUCUGAAGGGUGUGUGAGAAAGAGUCCUGAAAGCUUUCCACAGUAAAGAGUUAGCUAUACACACACAUUGGGCUGGGAUGAGGAUGUUGGUCCAUGGCAAAACAUGGUAGAAAGUUUUUGAGACCAACAUCAUCUCCAGAAUCCCUCUAUUUUUCCCAGAUAUUGUGAUGCUCCCAGAGAAAUAUUGAGAAUUAAUGUGAUCCAGCUGACCCAAACUUUUGCAUAAUGUUCCAAAUUUUCCAUUUCUUCAUUUAGUAGGAAAAAAAAAGGAAAGACUAGUAGAAACAAAAGUUAUAAAGAGUGAAAACUAACAACAAGUAAAAAGGAAGAAAGUAUUUCUUUGGAUAAUUAAUGACCUCUGCUUAGCAAAGACCACCUAAUAGUGCAUGGAGUUCUUAGCCUUUCAGUCACUUUUCUAUGCUGGUGAAGCAGGGCGAGUGCCCCAUCUCAAUUGGUUCCUGCCUUAGCUUCUGGUGAGCAUUCUUUUAUUGUAAACAGCUUGUCAGAACAAGACUGAAACCAAUAUCUUGAAUGGUGGGAUGACAGAAGAAGCAAACACAGGGGAGGAUCAGGUAUUGGAUUCCACACCGGUGUUUAUCAUUAUCUUUCUAAUUAUUUCAGUUGGUACUUAGUAAAUAGAUACCAUAAAAAGUCAUUGUGUACAUGUGGAAGGCUUCGGUUCUUAUAAUCUCUUAGUUCUUAGAGUAAACAUAAUUUUGAAACAAUUGGACACUUCUGUUGGGUAACAAUUUCCUGAGGAUGAAGAAAAUCAAAUGAACAGAAAAUAAAUCAGAACUUUCUGUAGCCCAUCUUUGUUUGUCUGUCUAUUUCUCUGUAUACCUGAACAUGACAGCGUGCACAUAUGAAUCUGUCUUUACAUCUCCCUUCUUCAUUUUCUGCUGCCUGCUUUCUCCAUCACGUUUUCCACCACAGUGAAGACAGAUUGUUGGAUAUACAUUCUAAUAAGAUUUUUCUAUUAGAAGCACCAUGUAAAGCACACCAAGAGAGUAGUUGGUCUAGAACUAAUGCAUAUAUGAGUCACAGCCCCACAUGCAUGCUGUCACCUGACAUUACAACCUCAUAUGUUUUCUACAGAGCCACACCUUACCUCAGAGCUUAGUCCUGCACACUGUUAUAUCCUUAGAAUAACCCAAAGAUACAGCAUUGAUUUUCAAGGGUAGCACAAGUCAGAGUACUCCUUAUUUUAUGUCAACAUAUGUAAUAUUACCAGAAAAGAAAAAGAAAAUUUUCCGACUUGCCAGUAAAGGGAAACAACAAAAAAAUUAAAACUACCUUUAAAAAUGCCCAAGCAUUAGCUGGGCAUGGUGGCUCACGCCUUUAAUCCCAGCACUUGGGAGGCCGAGGCAGGCGAAUUUCUGAGUUCGAGGCCAGCCUGGUCUACAGAGUGAGUUCCUGGACAGCCACUACUACACAGAGAAACCCUGUCUCACCCACACCCCUCAAAAAAAAAAAAACAUUUAAAAUGCCUGAGAAUGAAAAAUUAAUUAAGGAGAAUUAUAGCAUACUCUUAAAAAACAUGAUAAAUAAGACAAUAUGAGUAUUUAUCUUUCUGUGGACUGUAGAACCAUUUGCAACUUGGUGCUAUAGGAUAUCAUGUGCUAUCAUGUAUAAAAGGAAUUUACCAUUAAGUCUGUUAGACAAAACUGUAGGAGAUUGUGAGUUUUUUCUUUUUCUGUUUUGUUUUCUUUAGUCUUGGCAUUUUGGAACCAGCCUCCUGCUGAAGUAAAUUUGUCUCCAAUCACAAUCCCAGGUGGGUCACCUUACUCAUAGAAGAACAUUUAAGGGUAACUCACAUGGACAGAGUAAUGCCUACUUGCAUGGAAACUUAUCACUCUCCCUAAACAAUGUUGUCGUUGUCCACACAAUGACCAUGACCUUUAGCCCCUUAUCAGUUACUCCUGUUUCCCCAAAGCUGAAGGCCAGCUGUAGCAUCCAUCAGAGCCAUGCCUUUUCACUACUCUCAAGAUUGGUUUCUUCUCCAGUUCUCAUUUUUCCCUUCUAUAUUUGCUCCCUUUCACUUCUAGUCCUCCCAGUUUUGAUAACUUGAACUCUCUGGAAUAUUAAGAUAUCCAAUCUCCCAACUGCCCAGUGCUAUUGCCACUAACCUCUGCAGACAUUGGGGCUUCUGAACCAAAUGAGGAAUAUAAUUUUAAUAGUUCCAAAACAAUUUAGAUAUCCUAGUAAAAUAGUUGGCUUAUGACUUUAAUACUGCACAGCAUUGUGUAGCCUCUUGAAAAUGAUAACAAAGUUCUAGAUUUCAAGACUGGACGAGAAUGCAAAGCUUUCCAGUAAUGUGAAUGUGCCCCUGUGCAUGCAUGAGCUUUUAUUCUCUUAACUUUUGUGAUCAUUCUAAAUCAUUCAGGGUAAUAUGUCAUUAAAUCUCACCCUUGAUAGUCAGCCAUUAUACUUGCAGAGGACUGGAGAAGAUAAAAUGUGACAUUAUUUUAAGCUUUACUGUUGCCGUUGUUGUUUACAUAUAAAUCGAUCUAUGCAUACUGAAGAGGACUUAGUUGUUCCUUGAUUGUCUCUCUGUAGCACUGAAAUAAAUCAUCCCAUUCAAUCUGAUUAGUGGAAAGCAACAAAUUUCUUGUUUAUAGUUGAUGAUAACAGCAGUAGUAAGUAUCAUUUAUUGAGUGUCUAUUAUAACCUGGCACUGUCGUGAGUGUUCAGGAUUCAGUAUGCUAGUUAACUUACAUCACAACAAGCACUAGGCAGAAGUAUAGAUUUCAUGUUUUGUUUAGAAAUAAAUGAGACAAAGAGAGUAACUUCCAAAAGUUUAGUCUAAGUUUGUAUUCAAUGCAUACAGUCUAACCACAAAGAUGGGCUUCUUAACAGCUGUAUAGUCCACCUCCUGCAUAAGGAAAAAAACCCAGCACAUCAGAUUAUUAAAAUGUAUAGUUUUCACUAACAAUGCCCUUUGGCAGAAAAAAAAAAUAUAGGAUGACAGGGUCCGUUAGUUCUUCUAUUUACAGCCUAAAACAAUCAGGGCUUAUGUUCUAAGGUAAAAUAGAACAUCUGGUAACUAAAACAAUAAGAUGCUAAAAGCAAAAGAAAUGAACAAAACAUAAAAUGAGAAAAGCCAGUUUCUCCUUAUUGUAAUCAUUCUAACUUCCAUGCAAGAUUUUAAAAGUUUAUGUUGUGAGACAAGUCACAUGUUUCUGUUUUUGUGAUUUUCCUGGAUUUAAUACACCACACUGCUGUCCUUUAGCAUGUUUUGUACUGUAAAUAUUCUAUUGAUUCUGAAAAUCGUCCUGAGUAAAUGACAUGAACCCCUUGUCUGACUCUCUCCUAUCCCUUUUAUUGGGAACCCCCUUCCAGGUCCAUUUUCCAUAAUCUACUGAGAACUUUGUCUCUUACUGCAAUCUCAGAGGCCACAUUUCUUCAAAUUGGCAGAUGGGUGUUCAGUCAACUUAAUUUCCUUCUCUGCCCACUGUUCAUGCCACAUAUUCAGGAAUAGACUUUGAAAGGGAGUUGCCCACAAAGAGCGUGUUGUAGGAAACCUUGGAUGCAGAGAUGAGACUAGCAGCAAUAAGGGAUAAGAACAUCAGCUCGUCCCUUAUUUUCUAAGACAGAAAAAUAUUUCAAUCGAUCCAAAAUGGUAUUCCAACUGUUUUAUAUCAGGACAUACUCUAUGAUAUAGAUGCUUGCUAUAACAUUAAAAGGUAACUGCCUAUUUGAACAGCUUGAUUUAUUAAUUUUUUUCCCAAGAUUUUUUCAACUUAAAGCAAAUCUAAUGUUGUUCUUUAAGGCAAAGAUAGGGCUAAUAUAUUUCUUUAGAUGGCAAUUCAUCAAAUAUUUACAAUUCUUACCUGUCCUCCAAAUAUUCACAAUUCUUACAGUUGACAAUGCUGUUUCUUUAGCCUUACCAAGUAUACCUAUUCCCUUAACACUAAUGUCUAUGUUUCCAUUAUAUCCACUAAUACUACUAACAUGCCUAAGCCUUAGUUAAAAAGUCAUUUUUUGAGCUGGGUGUGGUGGCACACGCCUUUAAUCCCAGCACUCGGGAGGCAGAGGCAGGCAGAUUUCUGAGUUUGAGGCCAGCCUUGUCUACAAAGUGAGUUCCGUUCCAGGACAGCCAGGGCUAUGCAGAGAAACCCUGUCUUGAAAAACAAAAAAAAAAAAAAAAAAAAAAAAAAAAAAGUCAUUUUUUACAUGGGAUAAAAGUGCUUUCUUCGAUGGCAUGAGUUUAAUUUUGUGUUUGAUCCAGAGUAGGGAUAGAAUUGACUUAGCAGGCUCUAUCAAUUGCUAACAAUAAGAAUGUGAUUCUCCUAAAGUUUUCAUAGUUCCCAGUUUUUUAUUUCUGAAGUCAAACAAAAAUCCCACCCCUUUUCUACAGCUGCUUUAUCAGACUUUACAUAAUAAAGGGACCUUGAAUCUCCUGCUAUGCCCAAGCCAAAGGUAUCCUCAUCGAGAGCAGGACAUGGAUUUUCAGAACACUAUCCUCAGCUUGAUUGUGUAUAUCUAUAGAUUACCCUGUAUAGAAUGCAGCAAAUACAAACAAAAACUCUAUAUAAUAGAAUAACGAAUCAGUGACUUAUUUGUACAGUUCUGUAUUUUCCUCUUCCAUGUUCUUGAACAUACCUGUGGUGUUGGUCACUGAGAUCUUAAAUAAUAAUCAUGGUGACCUGGUAAAUGUUUAUCCACCUUUGUAGUAGUGAGAGUGAACACUGACUAUCUAAUAUCUGAAUACUUUUGUGAUAUAAAUAGUCAAACCACUACAUAUUUUAGUCUAUUAACAGGAAGUCAUUGAAUAUGGAGGGUUUUGAAUACAAAGCUGAAGAAAGACCAGAGCAGUGGACCAUCAGAUAGCUUUUACAAAGAAAAAUAUCUGUAAAUAAUUUCGUGAUCGAAGGUAAUGGGAAAAUAUGGUAAAAUGAGUGAUAAUAAGCCUUGGAUGUUUACUUUUUUUGCUUUUAUUAUCAUUUAGUUAAUUACAAGCCUUUAUGUUUUUACUUUAAUAAUAACUCAGAAUUCCCUAAAAAAUUCAAAAUGGGCUUUCAACAAUUUGUAUAAGCCGACUCCAAUAUACUGCUGCUGGCAAAAUGAGACCAUUCAAGGUUUGGCCCCUUUCCUUAAAAACUAAUUGAGAAAAUGAUGCUUUUACAUGGGAGCCAAUUAGAGGAUAAUGCAAGUCAUUACAUAGUUAAAUACAAAUGGGGAGCCAUAAACAAGACAGGUAUUUUUUCGUAAAGUGAGAUCUCAGUCACACACAAAGCAGGAUUGUGUCUGUCCUUUGCAUUUCAGUAUGUUCUAACAUGUCCAAGCACAAAUGCAGAUCCACAGGGGACAAAGUGGCAGAAUGUUUUGCACUGACUGUAGGAUAUUCUUAGGAUCAGUUACUAUUGUGAACUACAGGCAAAGAUUAGAGCUUGUUUGCAGGGAGAAGAAUUGAGAGAUUUCAGAUCUCAUAGACCAGGUUAAUAAUUCAGAAAGUCUGGACUCAGAAUUAUUUACUGAGUGGAUUGAUGGACUAUUAGAAAUAGGCGAUGACUGCCCUUGGGAGACCUUGAGAAAAGUGAUAGGGAAAAGUGUGGCACUUGGGUUUAAUAAACUUCAUGCUGCUCAGACACAUCUCCUAACUAAUGGUUUGUGACAUACAUAGCCUAGGUUUUGGCCAGCAGCGAUGCCCAGUGCUAUAAUUGUCUUGCAUAUAGAGUUACUAUUUCCAAAGAAAGUUGUUGCUGUGUUGAGCCAGUAAUUACAAAGCUGCCGGAAGGAAGAGCAGCCACCCCCACCAAGCUCACCAUGAUUUAUUGGGUGUGUUUGUACACUUAAACAGAUCUGUCUUAUCCUUCCUGCAAUGUUUUCAUACCUCAAUAUGAAUCUCUCUUCCCCUGAGUUUACCUCAUUUGCAUCUGGAAUAUUGAUCUGGUUGACAAAGAGCAAAACACUGUGUGUGUGUGCUUGUGUGUGUGUGUGUGUGUGUGUGUGUGUGUGUGAUUUUCUUUCUUUUAUGAGCUAGAGCUAUCUGGCACAAAGACUGCUUUUUGUCCUUGAAAUUUCUGCUGAUUUCUUCUUCUGUUGGGAAACAAACUUCUCUGUGAGACUGAAAUGCUCUUCAGUCUUGUAUAUGAUAUUUGCCCAUGGAGUCUGCAGUCAGAACUGAUUUAGGAGAGCUCACCAAUGCAUGAAGACCAUAAUGCUUGUGACGAAUUCUUUUGCAACCAUUGGAGAUCAGCAGUUUUCAGAGUAUGGUUCCCAUGGUGUCCUAAAUACCAAAUGUCCUCUGUCAAACAAAUUGCAUCAUGAUAAAACUGAAACACUUAGGAGGCUUUAGUUACAAUCUCCCCUUUGGAAAGCAGUCCAAACUCUUUGUUUUGCUUUCUUAACAAGCAUUUUCUUUCUAUGAUGAGAAACUUCACUUUUCCACCAGUGUAGUCACCAAGGAGUGACAGAAGCCAUUGGGACACACAAACCCUAACUAGAAGUGGCCCUUUCACAUCAGCUCUGACUUCCACAAAGGAGAGGAGUUGUACAACCAUGACUUUCCUUCAUAUUUUCCAAAGGUAGCCUUAGAAAGCCUAAUUCCUUUUACGAUAAAAAUUUUUACAUUGAAGUUGUUAAAAAUAAGAGUGAAUAAUGUCACCAAAUAGUUCAUAUUUAUAAUUCAGGUAUGCCUGGUUUCAGUGUCUUAAAGAGUGAGAAAUUGUAGCUAUCCAGCUUCAUGUGGAUUUUGAAAACCUAUAAAUAUCAUGAGCUCCACAAUAGACUUACCUCUCCCAGAUGUGCUAAGAUUGGAGGAAAAUAUUAAAUUAACUAAUAAUUACAAAAGUAAGAUUAGUAGUAAAACUUCUUAACCUUAAAUAGAAAAGCAAUAACCAUAUUACUUCCAGGCUGAAAAUGACAGGAUACCUCUGACUCAGAAUGUAAAUAAAUGAUUCAGAAAGGAGAUGUGUAGAGAAACUGCUCAGCUUGCUGAAGGUACUAUAAAACUACUGAAUAAAUUUAUCAAAUGAAUGAAUUUUUAAAGGUCUUCUAUUUGAUGCCAUGACAUUAUGGAAGCUAUAGAUAGAUUUACUUUCAAGGGGAUUAUAUUCUGGUAUUUGAUGACAUUAAUAUUUUUAGAACUAGAAGAUGAAGUAGAAAGCAUUUCCUACCAGUCUGUAGCAUAGAAAAAAUACUAAAUUUUAAUAUGCCAAGUGUUUCCUUCUUGCCUCAAGGGAAGAAGAGGAGAGUCAUGUUUUAAGAGGGUGAUGACAUUUCUGCCUGAACUUCAUAGCUCCACCAUAUAUAAUAAAGGACGAGGAUACUUUAGGUACAGAAAGCAACAGGAGAACAAAAUAAAACAAAAAUAAACACUGGUGAAAUAGCAGACAUAAAUGAUACACAGUAUAUGAGUAGCAAUGAUGUAGAUUGUCAUGGUUAAUGCUGUUUUCUCGUUACCAUAGAGAACAGGUAAGGAGAAGUAGAGAAUAAAAUGCAGGAUGUAAUUACAUUUCCAUUAAAAAGACACAGGUCAAAUUGUAAAAAGCUAUGAAAUUCACAUUAGAGAUGUUGACCUUGAUCCUUUAGUUAAAACAGCUCUUACUUUAUUUUUGAGAUUGUGAUUUAAUUACAACAUUCCUCUCCUCUCUUUCCUCCCUCCAAACUCUCCCAUAAGUCCCUCUGUUCUCUUUUAAAUUCAUGGCCUUCCUUUCCACUAAUUCUUACACACACACACACACACACACACACACACACACUAACCUGCUGGGUCUGUAAUGUUAUUGUAUAUAUAUUUUCAGGCAUAUUUGUUUGGGAUUGGAUAACAGAUUUGUGUGCUAUUCCCUUGAAAAGGCCAUGUCUCUCAUCUCAGCCCUCUUUGGUUGUCUAUAGUUCUUUGUGCAGGGUUGAAGUCUGUUGGGGUUUUUUCCCCUUCAUUUUGACCUGUUAAUUGGUGUCAUCCUUAUUCAAUUGUCAUUUGGGCAAUCCCAUUAGUGAGACUUUAUGUUGUGUUCUCUGAUAUCAGGAGAUACAAUCACAGCAAACUCUCUGAUCCUCUGGCUUUUAAAAUACUUCUGCCACCUCUUAAAUGCUUCCUAAGCCUUAGGUGCAGGGGUGCCUUGUAGAUGUAUUCAUUAAGAGUAGUAUCUACAACUCUACACUUUUAUUGGUUGUAGUUUUCUGUGUUAGUCUCUAUCUACUGUAACAAAAAGAUCUUUCCCUGAUGAAGAAUGAAGACUAUACCUAUCUAUGUGUUUAAAUACCAUUGCUUUUAAAAUGUAGUUUGGAAUUAUGCUGGUUUAGUAAAUGAGUAGCUAUAGAUUCUCCUUCAAUGAUGAAGACUUCACUAAUACUGAGAAGGUAGCUAGGUGCCCAGUAGGAGACAUAGUCUUCCUGUUACAUUGUUCAGAAUAUAAGUCCAGUUAUAUAAGUUAUAUAGUUAUUGGUUUUGUCUAAGUUAUGUAUUCUAUUCGACUAGUGUACCAAUGCUAUGCUGGUCAUUCUUUGUGGUUCAUGGGUGUCAUGGAUAACAUAGAUGUAUAGGGAUGUUGGUUAACUUCCUCCUUUAGCGGCUUGCUGGGAGUGUUUGAGGCCACAAUACACUGUAAAUGCCUGAUUUCAUCUUACCUGUGAAGCUACACACAGUCAGACAUAGAUUACCUAGAAGGAAAGUCUUGAUUUUGAAAACCCAAUUCUACGUUUCUUUCUUUCUCAAUAACAUGAAAGUAGACAUUUUAAUAUAUAGGAAAGGAUCUCAGCCAAAGUUGCAUAAAACUAAGAAUUAUACAUGAGGACUCAACAUGUAGGUGAUCACAGAUUUAUGACUAUUCUUUUUCAAGAAUAGUCAUAAAUCCGUGUUAAUGUUUAAUUAAGUUAUAUUCAAACAUUGUUACUAUUAUUAUUAAUGAUUAAAGGUACUUUUUAUGCAUUCCAAAGUAGAUGGAAACACUCUAGCGUAUUGAAAACACUAAAGUUUAUAAGUUAAGGAAAAAUUUUGUUAUAAGCAAGAAAAUAUCAUGAAUUAAAUAGUACCAUAUUUGUAGUUAUUUGAAAAUAAGUGUAUGUACAUGGGAGAAAAUAGGAUGAAAGAAGACAAAUAAAAGCUACAAUAAUACCUGGAUGAAAGAACUUGGAGACCAGCAAUAGAAAUGGAGAGGAGCCUGACACCACCAUAGCUAUGAGAAGUCAUGUGUCACCUAAUUGUUAGAUGAAAGGAAGAUGUAUUGGAUGGUGGGAGGAAGAAGAACUGUCUCAGAUUCAGUAACAAUUCAAGUGGAGAUUUGAGUGGAAAAAAGAACCUGUAAAAUUAACAAAUUCAAGAGGAGGAAUAAAUUCAAAACUGAAGAAAGAAAAUUCAGUUAACUAGUAAUGGAGAGUAGGAAAUUUAAGGAGAUGCCAGCUAUCCUGGAAUACAUAGGCCCAGUAAUUUAGAAAAUAGUGAAAUCUAGAGAUUGGGACUUAGGAGUUAUGAGUGUUGCAGAGGCAUCAGAACUAUGAGGCUGAAGAUGGUUGCUCUCUGAGUUCCUCUUACACUUGAUAAAUACUUGGUUGGGCAUCAUUUCCACAUAGAGCUUAUCUUAGUUCGUUUUCUAUUGGCAUGACUAAACAGGGUGAUUAAUUAUCAUCACUAAACAGGGUGGUUAAGGCUACUUGAAGAAGAAAGCACUUAGUUAAGAGAUUCAUAGUUCCAGAGAAUUAGAGUCCAUGACCAUCACAGUGGAGAACAUGACAACAGGCAGGCAGAUAGGACAGUGGAGCAGUAGCUGAGAGCUUAUAUCCAACCCUCAAGCACAGGCAGAGUGCUAACUGGAAGUGGCAUGGAUUUUUAAAAAGUCAAAGACCACCCCCAGUGGCAUACUUCCUCCAACAGGGCCACAGCUCCAAAUUCUUUCAAGUUCCAACUGGAAACCAAGCAUUCCCAUAGAGGAUCCUUCCAGAAUCAUUCUCAUUCAACUACCACAGGCUUCCUAGGUAGGAAAUAAACUUGCAGAAACUUCAGUCACAGAAUUGGUGGGAAAGAAACUAAACAAAACCGAAACAAACAAGCAAAAAACAGGGAAAUUAAAAUUCUACUUGCAUUUAAGAGUGUUUCAUCAUAUCAAGAUCUUCAGAAACAACAAACAAACAGACAUAUAAAACAAAACAAACACAAACAAAAACAAACAAACAAAUGAAGAAAGAAAAUGUCCAUUGUAUUCAGAGAAAACAAUACUUCAAAAAUGAACAAAGCAAAUGCAGUGUUCUCCAUAGCAAUGAAUAGGAUGUUAAAACAUGCACAAGGCUGUUGUAAGAGAUAUACAGUUUUGUCCUUUGAGAAGUAAAUACAUGUGUUGGGAUUACAAUAGACAUAUUGGGGGGGGUAUGAAGACUAAAGUAGAGGGAGUGAAAUUUGCAGGAAAAGAAUUUCCAACUCAUCAUCAUUCUCAUACCCGUGAAAGGGGAGGAAGAAAGUCUAGAGGGUUGAGUAAGAUGUGUGAGCAUUCUGGAGGGAUGGAUGCAUGUUCCUUAGACACAGUCUCCCAUCUGAGAAGUAUGGCCUGUUACAGGAGUGGACCUGGACCAGAAUUGUUACUGUGAUCAGGCUUUAGCUUAAAGUAGUAAAGAGUGUAAAUGAGUUGUUGGAUCAGGAGACAUCAGGUUUCAAAAGCAGAAAUGGCUUCUUCUUCUUCUUCUUUUUUUUUUUUUUUUCAUGAAGAUAUGAAGGUGGUUAAUUUCAGGAGGAGGGGGCUGUGUUAGGAAUAGUCAAAUCAAUGGUUUUGGGUGAAAUAGCAAUGAAUCGACCCUCAGGUUCUCCUGACUUUGUGCAUGUGAAGGAAAAGGUUAAAGAGCUGCUGAAGGAGUUAUUUUCAGAUAAAAAGUCUUUAGAGGAGUAAGAUAAUCCAGAUUGUAUAAGAAGCUAGCCUCCUUAGGUAUGAUGGUAUAUGACUGUAAUCUUGCACUUGAGAUGGGGGUAGAGGGAUAAGAAGUCCAAGGCCCUACAUAGUGUUAGCAGCCACAUUUGUUGGACUCUGUGAAACCUUUUCUCAGAAAUCAGGGAUGAAAGAAGAGAGAGGGAUGAUAUGAGGUUGGUAAUCAUAAUAGCACACUGCCUACUCUCUGGACAACUAUAGAGAAUUGUUUUAACUAGUGUGUUGCAAUUAAAGCCCACUGAGAUACCAAGCUCAUGUUAAAGGAAUUUGCUUUAGAUUGUCAAUUUCCAACACUGAAACUUAGCUCUCUAUGUGUUAUAGUAGAUCUGUUUCUUGGGGUUUCUGCUCUCUGCUUUCUUCAUCUACAAAGAAGGAAAUCCAAUACUCAGAAUAUCAUAGUAAAGGUUGACUAGCUCUUUUAUGCACUUUACUUUUUGUUGUAAAACUCUUCAUUUCCUUGUCCCAUUGAGAUAAUGUCUAUGUUACAGGUUGCUGGUAUCUAUUUCCCAACUUGGAUCUGGAGGAUUUCUUGACUCCCAUAUGUACUAUUCAUGGUAUCCCACAUCACCAUUAUGAGAACCACUUAACCAGCUUUUGUAUAACCAGCAUCAUUUCCGCCAGCAUUAUCUGCUUCCUGUGGCCUCCACUGCUGCUUCUCCAAAUGUAGAUUCUUGUAACUGAACCAGAUGGACUCCAUAUUACAUUCUUGAUAAGGGAAGGUUUCAGAAAAGGCUGAACAUAAGAGUUUGUUGUCAGUAGAUAUAAAACCCAGAAAUAACUGAAAUAAUCAGUAGGAAAAUAAAAGGCAAAUAUUACUUAGUGAUGAUUAGAUGAAAAAGUAAGGAUUAGAGUCCAUGAAGAAAAGAACAGAGUUCAGACUGUCAAUAUGACAGUAAAUGCCAAUAAUGGAGAUUGAAGCAGAAAGCCAAAAGGCACCUAGAAGACAUAAUUUCAAUUACACACUGAUAAAACCAGUUAAAAAAUUAUAGAAGUACUUUCAGUGAAAAUGAACUUCCUUUGGACUUACUUUUAUUAAUAAUGGAAAUUAUAGUCUAAAUAUCUCAUGGGUUUCAUGUCUUCCCUCAAGACAUUUAUGGUAUAGCCAAAAAGGAAAGAUGAAAUAAAAAAGACUGAGAAAUCCAAUAAGUUUGAUCAAGGAAAUAACUAAAUAUUUGUCAGGGCAUGAAUGAAGAAUUCAUGUGUAGUAGUUUCCACUCCUUAGUUUAGAAAUAUAAAGAUUGAAGAAUGUUUUAUAUAUUUGUAUAAAAAUUAACAUACUAAAAUUUGAAAUGACUGUUAGCUAUUAACUGCCUUUUUAAAUAUGAGUAAAAAUUAGCCCUACACUGCAUAGGAAGAGGAAAGUUUAGAGAAAAUGCUGUCAACAACAGAACUCCAAAGAGCAAGGUAGGAGAAGAUUAAGGAAAAAAAUCCAGUGGAGGAGCUAGAGAAAGUACUCAAGGAGCUGAAGGGGUCUGCAACCCUAUAGAUGGAACAACAAUAUGAACUAACCAGUAUCCCCAGAGGUCGUGUCUCUAGCUGCAUAUGUAACAGAAGAUGGCCUAGUUGGCCAUCAUUGGGAAGAGAGGCCCUUGGUCUGGCAAAGAUUCUAUGCCCCAGUACAGGGGAACACCAGGGCCAGGAAGCAGGAG